rnacentral:lncRNA from 1 species
UUUUCCUUCUUCUUCUUCUAAUUCUUUUCUUCUUCUCCUUUUUUCUUUUUCAUUUUUCCCUUCUUUUUCUCUUCUUUUUCUUCUAACCUAACUAACUAACCUAAUUGACCUAAAAACUAACAUAAUAAACUAACCUAAUGAAAAAUAAAACUAACCUAAUUAUAAAUUAACCAAAUUAACCGAAACAAAAAACAUAAAAAAUGGAAAAAG